rnacentral:rRNA from 1 species
UGCAGUCGAGCGGUAAGGCCUUUCGGGGUACACGAGCGGCGAACGGGUGAGUAACACGUGGGUGAUCUGCCCUGCACUUCGGGAUAAGCCUGGGAAACUGGGUCUAAUACCGGAUAUGACUUCAGGUUGCAUGACUUGGGGUGGAAAGAUUUAUCGGUGCAGGAUGGGCCCGCGGCCUAUCAGCUUGUUGGUGGGGUAAUGGCCUACCAAGGCGACGACGGGUAGCCGACCUGAGAGGGUGACCGGCCACACUGGGACUGAGACACGGCCCAGACUCCUACGGGAGGCAGCAGUGGGGAAUAUUGCACAAUGGGCGAAAGCCUGAUGCAGCGACGCCGCGUGAGGGAUGACGGCCUUCGGGUUGUAAACCUCUUUCAGCAGGGACGAAGCGCAAGUGACGGUACCUGCAGAAGAAGCACCGGCUAACUACGUGCCAGCAGCCGCGGUAAUACGUAGGGUGCAAGCGUUGUCCGGAAUUACUGGGCGUAAAGAGUUCGUAGGCGGUUUGUCGCGUCGUUUGUGAAAACCAGCAGCUCAACUGCUGGCUUGCAGGCGAUACGGGCAGACUUGAGUACUGCAGGGGAGACUGGAAUUCCUGGUGUAGCGGUGAAAUGCGCAGAUAUCAGGAGGAACACCGGUGGCGAAGGCGGGUCUCUGGGCAGUAACUGACGCUGAGGAACG